rnacentral:rRNA from 1 species
UGCGGAAUUUUAGAUAAUGGAGGGAACUCUGAUCUAGCGACGCCGCGUGCAGGAAGAAGGUCUUCGGAUUGUAAACUGCUGUGGUAAGGGAAAAAUGCUAUGUAGAGUGGAAAGCUACAUAGAGGGAUGGUACCUUACUAGAAAGCCCCGGCUAACUACGUGCCAGCAGCCGCGGUAAUACGUAGGGGGCGAGCGUUACCCGGAAUCACUGGGCGUAAAGGGAGCGUAGGUGGCCUAACAUGUCAACUGUGAAAACCCGGAGCUCAACUCCGGACUUGCAGUUGAAACUGGUAGGCUUGAGGACGGUAGAGGAAGACGGAACUGCCAGUGUAGGGGUAAAAUCCUUAUAUAUUGGCAGGAACGCCGGUGACGAAGGUGGUUUUCUGGGCCGGUUCUGACACUGAUGCUCGAAAGCGAGGGGAGCGAACG